UUUACCGGCUUUGAUAUAGUUUUAUUCGGCGGCGAUUUGUUUCGUGACCAGUAAAGGUGUUUGCACUGUAGUACAAGCUGAAACGUGUACUUCGGAUUUUUUUAUGGAUUAAUGAGAAUUGACCCCUUGCCAGCCAAAAUUUUGAGAGGUGUACUUGCAUUUCGGGGAUUUCUUCGUGAUGAAAGGCAGCAGUAGUAUAGAGCAUAAUUUGGCUGGUUCUCCUUUAUAACAGUGCUGUCUCCUACAGCAGUAAAUGCAUGCAUGUAUUUGAGAAAAAAUUAAAAGUCGGAAUAUUCUGCAUCUGCUGCAAGAUUGACAAGCUGGUUUUCACCUGUUAGUGCAGCACUCUGGGAAUACAACUUGAAAAUGAUACAUAUGGACAUCUUUCUGUGUUGUCAUCAUGUUAUUUAAGCUCCCAUUAAUUAUAUCGCCUGACCUGAGGAUUUCUAGGAUUUGCCCGGAAUUCCAUCUCACGGCAAAGGCUUAUAUUGAUCCACUAGACUGAUAUGAAAAGAGAAGUGAGUUGCACAGAUCGUCCUGACUUUUUUAAAGCUUACAUGAUGGGAGCAUCAGCUUAUGGAAUU